UGAGUACGAGCUGCUACGGCAGCGAAGUGGGUGACGUCAAGCUUCCAAGAAAAGCCCUAUACCCGUUAAGGCAUGAUGGCCUGUACCCGAAACCGACACAGGUGGGGUGGUAGAGAAUACCGAGGGGCGCGAGAUAACUCUCUCUAAGGAACUCGGCAAAAUGGCCCCGUAACUUCGGGAGAAGGGGUGCCACCGCAAGGUGGUCGCAGUGAAGAGGCCCAGGCGACUGUUUACCAAAAACACAGGUCUCCGCUAAGUCGCAAGACGAUGUAUGGGGGCUGACGCCUGCCCAGUGCCGGAAGGUUAAGGAAGCUGGUCAGCGUAAGCGAAGCUAGCGACUGAAGCCCCGGUGAACGGCGGCCGUAACAAUAACGGUCCUAAGGUAGCGAAAUUCCUUGUCGGGUAAGUUCCGACCCGCACGAAAGGCGUAACGAUCUGGGCGCUGUCUCGGAGAGAGGCUCGGCGAAAUAGAAUUGUCUGUGAAGAUGCGGACUACGUGCACCCGGACAGAAAGACCCUAUGAAGCUUUACUGUAGCUUGGUAUCGUGCUCGGGCUCGGAAUGCGCAGGAUAGGUGGGAGGCUAUGAACCAUUGCUUGUGGGUGAUGGUGAGCCACUGGUGAGAUACCACUCUUUCCGAGCUAGAGUUCUAACAGCCACCCGUUAUCCGGGGGCUGGACAGUAUCAGGUGGGCAGUUUGACUGGGGCGGUCGCCUCCUAAAAGGUAACGGAGGCGCGCAAAGGUUUGCUCAGGCUGGUUGGAAAUCAGCCGACGAGUGUAAAAGCAGAAGCAAGCUUGACUGUGAGACCUACAAGUCGAACAGGGAGGAAACUCGGCUUUAGUGAUCCGACGGUUCUGCGUGGAAGGGCCGUCGUUCAACGGAUAAAAGUUACUCUAAGGAUAACAGGCUGAUCUCCCCCAAGAGUUCACAUCGACGGGGAGGUUUGGCACCUCGAUGUCGGCUCAUCGCAACCUGGGGCUGAAGUCGGUCCCAAGGGUUGGGCUGUUCGCCCAUUAAAGCGGUACGCGAGCUGGGUUCAGAACGUCGUGAGACAGUUCGGUCCAUAUCCGGUGCAUGCGCAGGAAUAUUGAGAGGAUUUCUCCCUAGUACGAGAGGACCGGGAGGAACGCACCUCUGGUGUACCAGUUAUCGUGCCAACGGUAAACGCUGGGUAGCCAUGUGCGGAGAGGAUAACCGCUGAAAGCAUCUAAGUGGGAAGCCCACCUCAAGAUGAGUAUUCCCAUGGGUUAACCCAGUAAGGUCACGGGAAGAACACCCGUUGAUAGGCUCUACGUGGAAGCGCAGUAAUGUGUGAAGCGGAGGAGUACUAAUAGACCGAGGGCUUGAC
rnacentral:rRNA from 1 species